AGUGGGUCGGUUUGCCUUUGCAUUAUUGUUGAGCAGGUAUUAGGAAAUGGAGUCUUCAAAUCCAGAAGAAGUUGCACUUCCACCUCCUCCAGCCAUUAUCCCUCCAAAUGUUGUCCCCAUUGUAUCCGAAGAUCAACGUCUCGAACUAAUGAAGAAAGCAUCAAAUCCAAAACGUGUUCCCAUGGCAAGGCCCGGUAUUGGAUCUAAAGGGCAAAGGAUUCCACUUCUAACUAACCAUUUCAAAGUGGGAGUGAACAAGUCUGGUGGAUACUUCUUCCAUUAUAGUAUUGAUAUGCUUUAUGAGGAUGGAACCCCAGUUGGAGAGAAAGGCAUUGGACGAAAAGUUCUUGACAAAGUUAAAGAAACAUAUGGCUCGGAGCUGGGACAUAAAGAAUUUGCUUAUGAUGGAGAAAAAAGCUUGUUUACGGUUGGCUCUCUGCCUCGUAACAGACUCGAUUUCGUGAUCGUAUUGGAUGGCAUCUCAUCAAUCAGGAGGACGGGGAGCGCCGGAGGCAGUUCCAACCCAACUGAUAGUGCAGGGGAUAGGAAGAGAGUUAAGAAGCAAUAUCAAUCCAAAACAUUAAAGGUGCAGGUGAACUUUGCUACUAAAAUCCCAAUGCAAGCAAUUGUGAAUGCAUUACGAGGUCAGGACUCGGAGCAUUUUCAGGAAGCAGUGAGGGUACUUGAUAUCGUACUAAGGCAGAAUGCAGCAAAGCAGGGUUGUCUCCUUGUCCGACAGUCUUUCUUCCAUAACAAUCAGAGCUUCAAAACUUUGGGAGGAGGUGUACAAAGCUGCAGUGGUUUCCACUCAAGUUUUCGAGCUACCCAAGGGGGUCUGUCUCUGAACAUGGAUGUGUCCACUACAAUGAUCGUGAAACCUGGUAGUGUUCUCGACUUCCUCUUGGAGAACCAAAAUGUUAAGAAUAAUGAUCAGAUUGAUUGGAUUAAGGCCAAGAGGAUGCUAAAAAAUCUAAGAAUCACGGCCCAUCCCUCUAACAUGGAGUACAGAAUCACUGGAUUGAGUGAAAAAUCAUGCAAAGAGCAGAGGUUCUUUCUGAAAACAAAAAAGGGGCAGGAUGGUGAUGGAGAGGAAAUUACGGUUUUCGAUUAUUUUGCUGCCUAUAAAAACUUACCAGUGCGCAAGUCAGCAGAUUUUCCAUGCAUCAAUGUUGGGAAACCAAAGAGGCCGUCUUACUUUCCAGUUGAGUUCUGUGACUUGGUUUCACUGCAACGCUAUACCAAAGCUUUAUCCAGUACACAAAGGGCUUUGCUAGUUGAGCAGUCUCGGAAGAACCCCCAAGAGCAGAUGACAGUUCUGCGUAAUGCACUGAAGACUAGUAAAUAUGAUGCUGACCUGAUGCUUCAUUCAUCUGGAAUAUCAAUUAGUGCUGAAUUUGUGCAGGUUGAAGGCCGUGUUUUGCCAGCCCCAAAGCUACAAGUUGGCAAUGGACAGGAAUUUUUCCCUCGGAAUGGGCGUUGGAAUUUCAAUAACAAGACAUUGGUAGAACCUGUGAAAAUAGGGCGCUGGGCUAUUGUGAACUUCUCUGCUCGCUGUGACAUUCGGUACCUCGUCAAUAGUAUGUUAAAUUGUGCAGAGAUGAAAGGAAUUACCAUAGAAGAUCCAUUGUUCGUAUUUGAAGAGAAUUACCAGAAUAGACGUUACCCAGCUCAUGUUAGAGUGGAAAAGAUGUUUGACGACAUUCCUUCCAAACCAAAACCACAGCUUCUGUUGUGUAUUCUUCCAGAGAGGAAGAAUUCUGACAUAUAUGGUCCAUGGAAAAGGAAAAAUCUUUCUGAGCGUGGGAUUGUAACACAGUGCAUUGCUCCUACAAAACUGAAUGAUCAGUACAUCACAAAUGUGCUCCUGAAAAUCAAUGCAAAGUUGGGCGGAAUGAAUUCCUUGCUAACAGUUGACCGUUCUCCUUCUAUGCACUCAGUUUCUAAGUGGCCCACUCUGAUUUUGGGAAUGGAUGUGUCACACGGCUCACCUGGGCGGUCAGAUGUGCCUUCUAUUGCAGCAGUGGUGAGUUCCAGGAACUGGCCCUCCGUUUCUCAUUAUCGAGCUGCAGUUCGUACUCAAUCACCAAGAGUAGAAAUGAUUGCUUCUCUGUUCAAGCCUGUAUCAGAUAAAGAUGAUGAGGGCAUAAUCAGGGAACUGUUAAAAGACUUUUAUGCUUCUUCAAAGGGCAGGAAGCCUGAUCAGAUAAUUAUUUUCAGGGAUGGAGUGAGUGAAUCACAGUUCAACCAAGUCUUGAAUGUGGAACUGGAUCAGAUUAUUCAGGCCUGCAAAUUCCUUGAUGAGAGCUGGUCUCCUAAGUUCAUGGUAAUUAUUGCUCAGAAGAAUCAUCAUACAAAAUUUUUCCAGACUAGAUCUCCUCAAAAUGUGCCACCAGGGACGAUUAUCGACAACAAAGUUUGCCAUCCCAAGAACAAUGAUUUCUAUUUGUGUGCUCAUGCUGGGAUGAUUGGAACUACUCGGCCUGCUCAUUAUCAUGUUCUAUAUGAUGAACUUGGCUUUUCAGCCGAUAACGUGCAAGAACUUGUUCAUUCGCUUUCAUAUGUGUACCAAAGGAGCACUACAGCUGUAUCUGUAGUUGCUCCAAUCUGCUAUGCCCAUCUUGCUGCGGCCCAGAUUUCACAGUUCAUCAAGUUUGAUGAUGUCUGAGACUUCUUCAAGCCAUGCUGGUGGUGUGGCCGUGCCCGAGUUGCCCAGGCUUGACCCAAAAGUGAUCAAUUCCAUGUAUUUUUGUUGA